rnacentral:rRNA from 1 species
AACGAACGCUGGCGGCAUGCCUAACACAUGCAAGUCGAACGAGACCUUCGGGUCUAGUGGCGCACGGGUGCGUAACGCGUGGGAACCUGCCCUUAGGUUCGGAAUAACUCCCCGAAAGGGGUGCUAAUACCGGAUAAUGUCUUCGGACCAAAGAUUUAUCGCCUUUGGAUGGGCCCGCGUUGGAUUAGCUAGUUGGUAGGGUAAAAGCCUACCAAGGCGACGAUCCAUAACUGGUCUGAGAGGAUGAUCAACCACACUGGGACUGAGACACGGCCCAGACUCCUACGGGAGGCAGCAGUGGGGAAUAUUGGACAAUGGGCGAAAGCCUGAUCCAGCAAUGCCGCGUGAGUGAUGAAGGCCUUAGGGUUGUAAAGCUCUUUUACCCGGGAUGAUAAUGACAGUACCGGGAGAAUAAGCUCCGGCUAACUCCGUG